UGGGGAAUCUUGGACAAUGGGCGCAAGCCUGAUCCAGCCAUGCCGCGUGAGUGAUGAAGGCCUUAGGGUUGUAAAGCUCUUUUGCCGGGGACGAUAAUGACGGUACCCGGAGAAUAAGUCCCGGCUAACUUCGUGCCAGCAGCCGCGGUAAUACGAAGGGGACUAGCGUUGUUCGGAAUCACUGGGCGUAAAGCGCACGUAGGCGGAUUUGUAAGUCGGGGGUGAAAUCCCGGGGCUCAACCCCAGAACUGCCUUUGAUACUGGCUGUCUCGAGGUCGAGAGAGGUUGGUGGAAUUCCUAGUGUAGAGGUGAAAUUCGUAGAUAUUAGGAAGAACACCAGUGGCGAAGGCGGCCAACUGGCUCGAUACUGACGCUGAGGUGCGAAAGCGUGGGGAGCAAACAGGAUUAGAUACCCAAGUAGUCCCUGAGCGGGCUGGCAAGGCGCAU
rnacentral:rRNA from 1 species